AAGAUCUGGGAGGUGGAUACAUAAGCCACCUGAGAUUCUCAGAGGAUUGGGGCAUCACCAGGAGAAGACACCAGGACAACAAGGACUGCACUGCCUCGUAAAAGUGAAUCUAACCAGAUCUCAAGAUGUGUAGCUUGGAUUGUGUUGCAAACACGUUCAGGACGGUUUUCAGGCUGUUGAAGGGCAUAUUUGACAAGGCAAAAGAAGUCGCAGAGCAUCCCUUUGAAGCACCAAAGAAGCCCCCAAGUGAAAAGGGAGACUGAAGCUAAAGACGGCAUGUGCUUAUUUCCUACUCUUGUCUCCUUCUCCUCCAACACUUUGGAUGGCAGGGAUAUGCCCUUUAUUGUCAAGGGUCUCUGUGUUACAUUGACACCACAUUCCAAAUAAGAAUAAAUUUUAUUUGGAUCUGA